GUUGCGGGAGAGCUCCGGGAAUCCCCGGACACCGAAGGGGCAAGCGGCCGUGCCGCCAAACUCUCAGGUAAAUGGACUGCGGCCG
rnacentral:ncRNA from 1 species